rnacentral:rRNA from 1 species
AUGGCGGCAAAGAAACACCUCUUUUGUUUUGGGUCUUUUGCGAUAAGGGACGGGUCGGAGGUUCGUUUCUGGGAAGACAUUUGGCUAGGCAAUGCCAGUCUUCGAGAAUAAUAUACAGCCCUGUACAACAUUGCUCGCGAAAAGAAUAAUACUAUUGCGCAAGUGCUCAGUUCAUCCCCACCCAACAUUUUGUUUAGGCGGGAUUUGAUUGGCCCUCGACUUAUGUCACGGCACAAUCUUUUAUCCCGUCUGAAUUCGAUUAAUCUUAGACAAGGUCGGGAUGUGUUUUGCUGAAACCUUACAACAUCAGGGUCAUUCUGA